rnacentral:rRNA from 1 species
UAAUACGUAGGGUGCGAGCGUUAAUCGGAAUUACUGGGCGUAAAGCGUGCGCAGGCGGCGGCCCAAGUCAGGUGUGAAAUCCCCGGGCUUAACCUGGGAAUUGCGCUUGAAACUAGGUCGCUAGAGUGUGGCAGAGGGGGGUGGAAUUCCACGUGUAGCAGUGAAAUGCGUAGAGAUGUGGAGGAACACCGAUGGCGAAGGCAGCCCCCUGGGUCAACACUGACGCUCAGGCACGAAAGCGUGGGGAGCAAACAGGAUUAGAUACCCUGGUAGUCCACGCCCUAAACGAUGCGAACUAGGUGUUGGGGAAGGAGACUUCCUUAGUACCGCAGCUAACGCGUGAAGUUCGCCGCCUGGGGAGUACGGUCGCAAGAUUA